GUGCAGCAGUCGCGAAAACUCCGCAAUACGCGAAAGCGUGACGGGGCUACCCCGAGUGUCGUCCGCUGAGGACGACUUUUCCACGCUGUAAGGAGGCGUGGGAAUAAGGAGAGGGCAAGUCUGGUGUCAGCCGCCGCGGUAAUACCAGCUCUCCGAGUGGUAGGGACGAUUAUUGGGCUUAAAGCGUCCGUAGCCGGCUCAGCAAGUCUCCCGUUAAAUCCAGCGAUUCAAUCGUUGGAUUGCGAGGGAUACUGUUCGGCUAGGGGGUGAGAGAGGCCAACGGUAUUCCCGGGGUAGGGGUUAAAUCCUAUAAUCCCGGGAGGACCACCAGUGGCGAAGGCGGCCGACUAAAACGCGCCCGACGGUGAGAGACGAAAGCUGGGGGAGCGAACGGGAUUAGAUAUGAAGUUGAGUUUUUACCAGCUUCACUAGAUACCCCGGUAGUCC
rnacentral:rRNA from 1 species